rnacentral:rRNA from 1 species
GACGAACGCUGGCGGCGUGCUUAACACAUGCAAGUCGAACGAUGAAGCCUAGCUUGCUAGGUGGAUUAGUGGCGAACGGGUGAGUAAUACGUGAGUGACCUACCUUUGACUCUGGGAUAAGCCUGGGAAACUGGGCCUAAUACCGGAUACGACCAAUCUCCGCAUGGGGUGUUGGUGGAAAGCGUUAUGGAGUGGUUUUAGAUGGGCUCACGGCCUAUCAGCUUGUUGGUGAGGUAAUGGCUUACCAAGGCGACGACGGGUAGCCGGCCUGAGAGGGUGACCGGCCACACUGGGACUGAGACACGGCCCAGACUCCUACGGGAGGCAGCAGUGGGGAAUAUUGCACAAUGGGCGCAAGCCUGAUGCAGCGACGCCGCGUGAGGGAUGACGGCCUUUCGGGUUGUAAAACCUUCU